CCCUAGCCCCGAUUGUAGCGGAAAUCCUUUUGCAAUCGCAGUCCCGACGCUUCGGGACGGAGGUUGUAAAAGAUUACUUCACUGAGCUAAUAUUUUAUUAUUGGAGUUCAGUGAACUUCGUUUGCAGCGGAAAGCGGGAUAAAGC
rnacentral:sRNA from 1 species